ACCCACUGGUUAAGAUUCUGCCGACUCCUAAACCGAAUACCGAAUCCUACUCCCAUCCUCAGUCCAUUAACACAGUAAACACAUUAAUGAAGUAAACAACGUCCACAGCCUCUAAAAUAGUUAAAUGUAACACCUUGAUGUUGAAUUCACAUGCUCUUUUCACAUCGUACCUGAAAGCGCAUCGUUAUCGACAGAUG